rnacentral:rRNA from 1 species
GAUGAACGCUGGCGGCGUGCCUAAUACAUGCAAGUCGAGCGAACGGACGAGAAGCUUGCUUCUCUGAUGUUAGCGGCGGACGGGUGAGUAACACGUGGAUAACCUACCUAUAAGACUGGGAUAACUUCGGGAAACCGGAGCUAAUAGCGGAUAAUAUUUUGAACCUCAUGGUUCAAAAGUGAAAGACGGUCUUGCUGUCACUUAUAGAUGGAUCCGCGCUGCAUUAGCUAGUUGGUAAGGUAACGGCUUACCAAGGCAACGAUGCAUAGCCGACCUGAGAGGGUGAUCGGCCACACUGGAACUGAGACACGGUCCAGACUCCUACGGGAGGCAGCAGUAGGGAAUCUUACGCAAUGGGCGAAAGCCUGACGGAGCAACGCCGCGUGAGUGAUGAAGGUCUUCGGAUCGUAAAACUCUGUUAUUAGGGAAGAACAUAUGUGUAAGUAACUGUGCACAUCUUGACGGUACCUAAUCAGAAAGCCACGGCUAACUACGUG